rnacentral:rRNA from 1 species
GAUGAACGCUGGCGGCGUGCCUAAUACAUGCAAGUCGAGCGAACGGACGAGGAGCUUGCUUCUCUGAUGUUAGCGGCGGACGGGUGAGUAACACGUGGAUAACCUACCUAUAAGACUGGGAUAACUUCGGGAAACCGGAGCUAAUACCGGAUAAUAUAUUGAACCGCAUGGUUCAAUAGUGAAAGACGGUUUUGCUGUCACUUAUAGAUGGAUCCGCGCUGCAUUAGCUAGUUGGUAAGGUAACGGCUUACCAAGGCAACGAUGCAUAGCCGACCUGAGAGGGUGAUCGGCCACACUGGAACUGAGACACGGUCCAGACUCCUACGGGAGGCAGCAGUAGGGAAUCUUCCGCAAUGGGCGAAAGCCUGACGGAGCAACGCCGCGUGAGUGAUGAAGGUCUUCGGAUCGUAAAACUCUGUUAUUAGGGAAGAACAAAUGUGUAAGUAACUAUGCACGUCUUGACGGUACCUAAUCAGAAAGCCACGGCUAACUACGUG